rnacentral:ncRNA from 1 species
ACGGGAUAAACGCUGAAAGCAUCUAAGCGUGAAGCCUCCUUCAAGAUGAGAUCUCACUGGAACUUCGAGUUCCCUGUAGGGCCCUGGAAGACUACCAGGUUGAUAGGUCAGGUGUGUAAGCGUUGUGAGGCGUUGAGCUAACUGAUACUAAUUGCCCGUGAGGCUUGACCAU